GUCAUUGCUAAGCACCUUGAUUAGUAGAAUCAGGAUCAGGUGUGUGCACCCACACUGGCCCUUUCUGGAUAAGACGAAUGACAGAGAAACUUCUGUCUAAAGACCCAGAGAAAGCAGAGUUGUACAAUGCAGAAAACUACAAGCUAGAAAAGGCUGAGUACGUUGUCAGGAUACCACCUGAGGUUGUUAGCCAAGCCACUGAAUCGUGGUUGUACAUUCCACACCAUAUGGUGAGCCAGAAUGGCUAGAACUGAGCGGUGUUUAACUGCAUUUCAUUAGUUCAUUUCAAUAUCAGGGUAACAACCUUAAUGAGUGGGGGUCUUUCUUGCCUGGACUUACCUUAAUCCCCACCCUGCUGUGAGUGUUGUUAAGGAUCCAGGAACAAGAUGUGGCCUUUACCAGUGACGUAAAAGGUAUUUUCCAUCUGGUACGGCUGCUACCUGAGGACCAACUACUUCUCAGAUUCCUUUGGCGGGACAUGAAGCGAGAAGCCCUUGUCCGCGUCUAUGAGUGGACUGUUCUACACUACGACACUACGUGCAGCCCAUGUUGUGCUACAUUCGCUCUACAAAGGCACGUUCUGUCUAACAGCAAGCCUGGAUAGGAUGUCCGCACAGUGAUAGAAAGGCACUUCUAUGUGGACAAUUGGCUGCGGAGUCUCACCACUGCGGAAGCAGCCAACAAACUGGUGGAUAAACUGUGGGUCCUCUUAGCAGCAUGAGGCAUUUCCCUAUGCCAGUGGGCCAGCAAUAUCCCCAGCGUUGUCAACCAUCUCCCUGUUGAAGACAGAUCAGACAGCAGUGAGCUCUGGCUGACACAGAAUCGAGUGGAUACUGACAUGCCUUGUUUCUUGCCCUUACAUCAGCUUCCUGCUGUUGUCAUUUGCGUUCCCCCCAUCUGUUUAUUCCCCGUAUCCCCCCUCUCAAUCCACGGCCCAUAAAUAAGCACAGAGGUGAGACGGCAACAGAAGCGCAUCGUCAUGGUGACUCAGGGUCAGCAUCACACUGAUCUCUCAGUAGCUCUUGUUUGUUUUGUCUGCUGUUUUUGUCUACUGUUCAAUUAUAUUAAUCUACAGGUGCCAGUUUUUUUUUUUUUUUUUUUAAUCUGGGGUAGAGGGCUCGAGGAGUGUGUUCACAACCGCUUUGUUAAACUAUAGAAGGCCAAUGCAAUCUGAUUUAACAACAUGCUGCUAACCUCACAAAUGACUCCUCUUCUCCCUGCACACACACACACACACAAGCACACAUACACCCACACACACAUUUACAUGCACACUCACACAUUUUGUGCAGGCUUAUUUUAUCUCCUUGCUUCCUUUCCUUGCUCCUAGCUGCACCCAUGGGAGGACGCAAGGAAAGAAUGCAAGGACCGAGGAAGCAAGGAAACGUGUAACGGAAUUGGAACGUCCUUGCUCUUUCAUGUGUCAAUUCAAAGCCACAUCAAUUGUAGACGUGGCAGGCUUAUGAUGGAUGGCCUUGCAUGGGCUUAAUAAAGUGAGGCAAAAAUCA